AUUGAACGCUGGCGUCAGGCUUAACACAUGCAAGUCAAGCGAGCUGCGGACGGUUGAGUAAUUUCUUGUAACCUGCCUGAUGGAGGGGGAUAACUACUGGAAACGGUAGCUAAUACCGCAUACCAUCGGAUGUGCCCAUAUGGGCUUAGCUAGUAGGUGGGGUAACGGCUCACCUAGGCGACGAUCCCUAGCUGUUCUGCGAGGAUGACCAGACACACUGGAACGGAGACACUGUCCAGACUCCUACGGGAGGCAGGAGUGGGUAAUAUGUCACAAUGGGCGCAAGCCUGAUGCAGCCAUGCCGCGUGUAUGAAGAAGGGCUUCGGGUUGUAAAGUACUUUCAGCGGGGAGGCGUUACCCGCAGAAGAAGCACAGGAUAACUCCGUGCCAGCAGCCGCGGUAAUAC
rnacentral:rRNA from 1 species